rnacentral:lncRNA from 1 species
GCAGCUUCUAUAAAAUCGUGUACAGACAUCUCCAGAGGGCACAGUUGGUGGCAGCAGUGACAAGCCAAUAGCACUUCAAAGGGCAAGAUGGUGAAAUCAUCACUGGCUCUUUUCCUUGUCGCGGUGGUAGCAUGCGGUUUGCUGUGCCGCACAGAUGGUCGCCUUCUGGAUGCUAAAUCACUCACCGACCCAGUCACGGGGCUUCUAGACAAUACAGUGCAGGCGAGAGAGCUCACCGAGGAUCUUGUUCCAGGAGCUGGAAAGAAGGCACUAGGCCCGCUGAGCGAAGACAGCCCGUCUCCGCCGAAAGCGGACCCUCCUGCUGGCUUCAAGUAGAAAAAGUCACGAAGCUGCUGAGCUGCCUGCCUAUAAGGAAUGUGUUCGAGACCUUAGCUAAUAAAAUUCGCUAUGUUUCGUUCUGGA